ensembl:lncRNA
AUACAGUACACACACAUAUAUUAUGUAAACAAAACCUUUAUUUUGGAUGCGAUUAAUCGCAAUUAAUUGUUGCCCAGCACUAAAUUCUUUGCAUUACAGUAAUAAAAAUUUGAUUUUUUUUUUUUAUGUAAAGGGGGGAUUAUAUAAAUUAUAUACACUAGCAUUAACAAGUUUAGGAUCAGUAAGAUCUGUUAAGAAAUUAAUAGUUUUAUUACAGCAGGGAGGCAUUAAAUUGAUCAAAUGUGAUGGUAAAUACUUCUACAUUGUUACAAUCCUGGAAAAAAUGUAUCACAGUUUCCAAGAACAUAACAAUAAACUGUUCACAACAUUAAUAAUAAGAAACGUUUUUUAAGCACAGAAUGGUUUCUGUAGGAUCAUGUGAAACUGAAGACUAGUAAUGACGAAGUAAUGGCUGCUGAAAAUUCAGCUUGGCAAUCUCAGGAAUAAUUACAAUAGAAAACAUUUUUUUGAAAUUGUUAUAAUAUUACACUAGACUAUCCUUUUUCUGUAUUGUUGAUCAAAUAAAUGCAGCCUUGGUCAGCAUGAGAGACUUCUUUCAAAAACAUUUAAAAAAAUCUUAUUAACAUCUUUUAAAUGAUAGCGCGUUUACAUUUACUUUUGGUUUUGGGGUGAAUUUCCAUGAGAUAUGUAAUAUUUCCAUGAGAUAAUAGUAAUAUUAUUAUUAUUAUUAUUAUUAUUAUUAUUAUUAUUAAAUACAACACAUAACACCUAAAGCUAUGGAGAGAAUCAAGUUAAAUGGACACAAGUGAAUCUGAAUUUCUAGGCAAUUAGCUGGUUACACUGUAAGAUGUACAGUAGAUGUGUUUACCUAUAAUUACAGAGGCCAUGCUGUUAGAAGAGAGGCCCAAAGUGUCUGCUCUGCCCAGAACUUCCUCCAGUACCCAGUUCCCACAAAUUAGCUGGAGGUGAUUGGUCAGCAGGUGACUCAAGCUUCCUUUUAGUUCUUCCCAGCUAGUAUGGCGUUGAAUUGUUACUUUGCCAACUGCGCAGCCAUCCUCCAGGAGAUCCACAGGACAAAGACGCUCCAGUGAGCUCAUGAGCACCUGUACAACCACUAUGUACCAGUCUUAAAUAGGGUAGAAAUCAAAAGUUAAAUGGUAAGGCUGUGGUCUGGUCACUUAAGUCAACUAUCACAUGGCCAAACCAUCACAUUUGUACAAAGCUCCAUCGCUCAAACUAUACUUACCCAGGUUCUCUAGUAGGUCUUUGCAGUCAUCCGUGGCAACAUCAUGAAUGGUGCGAUUACAUUUAUCCCUCUUCUCCAUGUCCUGUUGACUGUGGUUACACAAAACCUCCAGGCAUUUCUGUCUGGUUCAGGAGAUGGGUGGUGUAGCAGGAGCUUUAGAGGGCCCACAUGACCUGAACUGACUGCGGCAUGCAGAGCUGUGCAGUUGUCCUGUGAACAACAAACACUU